rnacentral:rRNA from 1 species
GGGUUGUGAGGUUAAGCGACUAAGCGUACACGGUGGAUGCCCUGGCAGUCAGAGGCGAUGAAGGACGUGCUAAUCUGCGAAAAGCGACGGUAAGGUGAUAUGAACCGCUACAGCCGUCGAUGUCCGAAUGGGGAAACCCAGUGUGUUUCGACACACUAUCGUUAACUGAAUACAUAGGUUAACGAGGCGAACCGGGGGAACUGAAACAUCUAAGUACCCCGAGGAAAAGAAAUCAACCGAGAUUCCCCCAGUAGCGGCGAGCGAACGGGGAGCAGCCCAGGACCUGAAUCAGCUUGUGCAUCAGUGGAAGCGUCUGGAAAGUCGCGCGAUACCGGGUGACAGCCCCGUACACGAAGAUGCAUAAGUUGUGAGUCCGACGAGUAGGGCGGGACACGUGGUAUCCUGUCUGAACAUGGGGGGACCAUCCUCCAAGGCUAAAUACUCCUGACUGACCGAUAGUGAACCAGUACCGUGAGGGAAAGGCGAAAAGAACCCCGGCGAGGGGAGUGAAACAGAACCUGAAACCGUGUACGUACAAGCAGUGGGAGCACCUUCGGGUGUGACUGCGUACCUUUUGUAUAAUGGGUCAGCGACUUAUAUUCUGUAGCAAGGUUAACCGCAUAGGGGAGCCGAAGGGAAACCGAGUCUUAAUUGGGCGUUAAGUUGCAGGGUAUAGACCCGAAACCCGGUGAUCUAGCCAUGGGCAGGUUGAAGGUUGGGUAACACUAACUGGAGGACCGAACCGACUAAUGUUGAAAAAUUAGCGGAUGACUUGUGGCUGGGGGUGAAAGGCCAAUCAAACCGGGAGAUAGCUGGUUCUCCCCGAAAGCUAUUUAGGUAGCGCCUCGUGAACUCAUCUCCGGGGGUAGAGCACUGUUUCGGCUAGGGGGCCAUCCCGGCUUACCAACCCGAUGCAAACUGCGAAUACCGGAGAAUGUUAUCACGGGAGACACACGGCGGGUGCUAACGUCCGUCGUGAAGAGGGAAACAACCCAGACCGCCAGCUAAGGUCCCAAAGUCAUGGUUAAGUGGGAAACGAUGUGGGAAGGCACAGACAGCCAGGAUGUUGGCUUAGAAGCAGCCAUCAUUUAAAGAAAGCGUAAUAGCUCACUGGUCGAGUCGGCCUGCGCGGAAGAUGUAACGGGGCUAAACCAUGCACCGAAGCUGCGGCAGCGACGCCUAUGUGUUGUUGGGUAGGGGAGCGUUCUGUAAGCCGCUGAAGGUGUGCUGUGAGGCACGCUGGAGGUAUCAGAAGUGCGAAUGCUGACAUAAGUAACGAUAAAGCGGGUGAAAAGCCCGCUCGCCGGAAGACCAAGGGUUCCUGUCCAACGUUAAUCGGGGCAGGGUGAGUCGACCCCUAAGGCGAGGCUGAAAAGCGUAGUCGAUGGGAAACAGGUUAAUAUUCCUGUACUUGGUGUUACUGCGAAGGGGGGACGGAGAAGGCUAGGUUAUCCGGGCGACGGUUGUCCCGGUUUAAGCGUGCAGGUGUGAAGACCAGGCAAAUCCGGUCUUCUUUAACACUGAGGCGUGAUGACGAGCCGCUACGGCGGUGAAGUAACUGAUGCCCUGCUUCCAGGAAAAGCCUCUAAGCUCCAGGUAACACGAAAUCGUACCCCAAACCGACACAGGUGGUCAGGUAGAGAAUACCAAGGCGCUUGAGAGAACUCGGGUGAAGGAACUAGGCAAAAUGGUGCCGUAACUUCGGGAGAAGGCACGCUGGCGCGUAGGUGAAGGGACUUGCUCCCGGAGCCGAAGCCAGUCGAAGAUACCAGCUGGCUGCAACUGUUUAUUAAAAACACAGCACUGUGCAAACACGAAAGUGGACGUAUACGGUGUGACGCCUGCCCGGUGCCGGAAGGUUAAUUGAUGGGGUUAUCCGCAAGGAGAAGCUCUUGAUCGAAGCCCCGGUAAACGGCGGCCGUAACUAUAACGGUCCUAAGGUAGCGAAAUUCCUUGUCGGGUAAGUUCCGACCUGCACGAAUGGCGUAAUGAUGGCCAGGCUGUCUCCACCCGAGACUCAGUGAAAUUGAAAUCGCUGUGAAGAUGCAGUGUACCCGCGGCAAGACGGAAAGACCCCGUGAACCUUUACUAUAGCUUGACACUGAACAUUGAGCCUUGAUGUGUAGGAUAGGUGGGAGGCUUUGAAGCGUGGACGCCAGUCUGCGUGGAGCCAACCUUGAAAUACCACCCUUUAAUGUUUGAUGUUCUAACGUAGGCCCGUGAUCCGGGCUGCGGACAGUGUCUGGUGGGUAGUUUGACUGGGGCGGUCUCCUCCCAAAGCGUAACGGAGGAGCACGAAGGUUGGCUAAUCCUGGUCGGACAUCAGGAGGUUAGUGCAAUGGCAUAAGCCAGCUUGACUGCGAGAGUGACGGCUCGAGCAGGUGCGAAAGCAGGUCAUAGUGAUCCGGUGGUUCUGAAUGGAAGGGCCAUCGCUCAACGGAUAAAAGGUACUCCGGGGAUAACAGGCUGAUACCGCCCAAGAGUUCAUAUCGACGGCGGUGUUUGGCACCUCGAUGUCGGCUCAUCACAUCCUGGGGCUGAAGUAGGUCCCAAGGGUACGGCUGUUCGCCGUUUAAAGUGGUACGCGAGCUGGGUUUAGAACGUCGUGAGACAGUUCGGUCCCUAUCUGCCGUGGGCGCUGGAGAAUUGAGGGGGGUUGCUCCUAGUACGAGAGGACCGGAGUGAACGCACCGCUGGUGUUCGGGUUGUCAUGCCAAUGGCACUGCCCGGUAGCUAAGUGCGGAAGAGAUAAGUGCUGAAAGCAUCUAAGCACGAAACUUGCCCCGAGAUGAGUUCUCCCUGACCCUUUAAGGGUCCUGAAGGGACGUUGAAGACGACGACGUUGAUAGGCCGGGUGUGUAAGCGCAGCGAUGCGUUGAGCUAACCGGUACUAAUGACCCGUGAGGCUUAACCUUACAACGCCAGAGGCGUUUUG